CGGAGUUUGGCGGCCGGGCCGGCGGUGGCGAAGCUUGGUUGUAGUUUGGUGGUUUGGGGGUCUGGGGGUCGGCCUCCCUUCAGUUCCCCCGGGCGACGGGGCAGAAGGACGACAGGAGGUGGAAGGGGAGGAGAGGCAGCCGCGGGCCCCGUUCCCUGCUUCUCUCCCUCCCCCUCCCCCGGGUGACGUCAACCAGAGAGGCCGGGCCCAGGCUCCGGAGCAUGGGAAGCCCCGGCCGCCGCCGCCCCCUCCACCAUCACCGCCCAAGCGGGGCUCAGCCUUAAAAACGCGGCCACGGAGGCCUGGAGGCACGAACGGGCCGAGGUAGCAGCAGCAGCAGCAGCAGCAUGGUCCUCCGGCCUGCCGCCAACGCCGUCUAGACCCUGUCCCUUUCGCCCCCCCCCCCUCCCCCCCCACCUCGAGUGAGUGGGACCGUGCGUCUCCCCCGCCAUGGCUCAGGAGAAAAUGGAGCUGGACCUGGAGGUGCCGAGCGGCUCGUCCGCGGCCCCCGCCGACGGCGGCAGCAGCAGCAGCCUCCGGAGAUCCAACAGCGCCCCGCUCAUCCACGGCCUCAGUGAUAAUUCACAGGUGUUCCAGGCUGACGUGUUGAGAACACGCAGGAACAGUACAACAGUUAUGAACCGUCACAGUCUGUUGUUGCCAUCAUCCCCUAUUCGUAUUCCUAGUAGUCGCCUUCAUCAAAUCAAGCAGGAAGAAGGAAUGGACUUGAUAAAUAGAGAAACAGUGUAUGAGCGAGAAGUGCAAACAGCAAUGCAAAUAAGCCAGUCAUGGGAAGAAAGUUUAAGCCUGAGUGACAAUGAUUUUGAGAAAUCAUCCUCUCCAAAGCGCAUUGAUUUCAUUCCAGUUUCCCCAGCGCCGUCACCUACCAGGGGGAUUGGGAAGCAAUGCUUUUCACCAUCUUUACAAAGUUUUGUGAGUAGCAAUGGAUUGCCUCCAAGUCCUAUUCCCAGUCCAACAAGACGCUUUGCAACGAGGAGAAGCCAGAGUCCUAUCAAUUGCAUUAGACCAAGUGUUCUUGGACCAAUAAAAAGAAAAGGCGAAAUGGAAACUGAAGACCAGCCAAAGAGAUUUUUCCAAGGCACCACCAAUGUGCUUUCUUCUGAUGCUGCACACCUGACAGAUCUUAAUGUGUGGGAAAUCUGAAGUGUAUAUGGAGCUCACUACCUCAGGAUAGACCACAUUGAAGUGUUUGACUUUCUCCCCAACCGGCGGCUAAACCCACAGGGUGCAGGUGCAGUUUUCCAUCGAGCCAGUAGUUGAGGAUCCUGCUGUCCACUGUUCUCGCAUAUCCUGCCUAGUGAAGUUUGCUGCAGCGGGUGUUUUGUUAGCCAGGACCCCCAGCGACUCUAUGUCUCAUCUCCCAUUCACAGCAGUGCUGGUGGUCUUUCAUACUGGCCUGGAGCAGAUCUUCUGGCUAGUUCACAUCUUCCUGGAGGCGAUGGGAGAAUUAGGGAACGCUCUUUUGCCAGCAUGAGCUUGUUUGGGCUCGGCAUGCCACGUCACCAAAGAAACUGCUUGGAAAGAAACUGCGUGUGACAUUGGGACUGAACUUUUUGGGUAUCCAUCCACCAACACAAAAAUAAAUCCUAAGUGGAACCAUGGGAGUCUAGGGGAAAUGGACUGCAGAUUAAGAGGCCUCUUACUGGUUGAAAUGCCCACAGUGCCGAGGACUGAAGACCAUCUGUGGAAGCAACAGGCCAGGGAAAAAGAGUAUAACUCUGAGAAGCGGGAGCCUCAGGUCCCAGACCGGGCUUUGCCAGACGGGGAAGAUGUCCUGGAGUUAUACCAUUAGAGGUGAAGACUUCUGUCCGAAGGACCAGUGGCAAGAUGACUUUUGAACCGUGCUGUUGAUCCGGUGGAAAGAGAACUGCUCUGGAAAACAGGAGACUGGUUCUAAUCCCGAUUCGGCAAGCAGGGAAAUGCUUACUGGCACCGGGCCGCUAAGGAUGAAGUUUCUGACUGAAGGACCGUGUACGGCACUCUGAGAACACUGUACUAAGCACUUGGAAAAUACAAUACAGCAAUAGAGAGAGACAUCUACUUCACCUGAACAAGACAUUUGAGUGCUCUGGAAAUCUUGACAUGGGAUUUAACUUACUCUUGGAAACCAAGGACAUGGUCUUUUGCCUUCUCAUAAGUCUUCUGCCUCCAAGACAGUUCACUGCACAAUGUUGACCCGGAAUUUCUGAUGAUGGCAACCCAUCAGUCUGUGCAUGAAGAACUGAGGUCACUAAUGGAGGAUCAGUCCAAAUGUCAUUAAUCAAGUGCUCUGUGGAUUACAGGACCUUUGCCCUUUCAAUGCUGGUCCCAUCUCCAUUUAAAUUUCUCAACACCCCAGGUGAGUAAUCAGCCCUAUUCAAAUCUUAACUAGGUUUGAAUGCAAUGAACACCCUCAGUUAUAAAUAUUUACAAGUCCUACCCUACCACUUGUUCUGUUUCCUGUAUGCUAACUUCUUUCAGAAUGAAUCAUUUUUCCAUGUCAACAAUAACAACUUUACCUCUUCCAUGAUUCAAGUUUAAAGUCCUAGGGGCUUACAGUCCAAUUAGUUCUCGCCUAACAGCAUUCCUCAGCUUUCUUUUCAUCAGUCUUCCAUAGCGCAUCAAACAGACGCUUCCUGUGGGAUAAAAAAAAAAAUAGCUCAUUUACUCUCCCUCAACCACCCCUUUUUACAGUGAUUGUGGCAAAAUAGAUCCCUUAGACUCAGUCUUAAAAUAUAAUUUAGAAAUAGUGAUUUCAAAAAUAACAUAUGAAGUGCUAAAUACAGGUAAUAGUACCAACUUCCUGGCAUUGGGUAUAUUGUAGCUAGGGUCUCAAACACAAAAUGUUAGUAGAGGAUCUAGAGUGAAGGCUGAGCUAAAGUUCUGCCCCUUUUGUACUCCUAACUCUUAACAGAUCAGUAAAAGACCUCACAGAACACACCACUAAUUAUCCACCACCACUUCUCCAAGUAGCACUUAAAUGCCCCAGGAAAAAUGUUUUCAUGCACUAGUUGUAAAUAAUAAGGAAAUGGAGGGUGGGAAGAAGAGUUAUGAAAGAAUAUGGGAUGACAUGAUUUAAAAUUACUGAACAGAAUAAAUUCAAUAUGUUGACUGACACCCAAAGCAGCACUUCCUACCUUUUUUUUGCCAUGUAACUCAUUUGCAAGAAUUCAUAAGAAAAAAUUGCACAUUUUAAGCUAUUCAGAAGAAAGGUACUGCACAGACAAAGUGUCUCAAAGUUGGUUUUAAAAUCUUUCCCCCACAUUCAAGUAGUGGUUUGUGCUGGGAAAACAAAAUCAUUACUAUGUAAAUUUAAACACUUUUAAUUUACAAUGUUUUGGACACAAACUAUAUAUGGAACAAAUUUGGGUUUCCCUAAAAGGUUAAAAUUUUUCAAAGUACUCAGAAUACCUUUAAAAACAGUCAUUUCCUGAAAAAUUCUCAAGAACAUCUUUUUGCAUGUUUAUUCAAUCAAUAGUAUUGAGUGCUUACUGUGUGUAGAACAUUAGAGCGCUUGAAAGUCUUGAAUGUGCUGGAAAGUUGUGAAGCAUGCCCUGGUGUGAAAAUCUGGAAAACAGUGAUGUUCAAGACAAAAGCAUCCUAUAUAAUUUUUUCAGACAAAAAUACAGCUGCUUGGUGUAAUGGAAGAUACCCAACAUAGAAAUGGAAAUUGUCUUAUUUGCGGUUCUAAAAGUGACUUAACAGGGUUAAGGGAACAAGAUAACCAUCAUGCUAUUCUGCAUGCCAUCUGUUAAUUCCAGUUUGGGAAUAUGUUAAUAUCCUAAAAAUGCACAUAGGCCUUGGGCAAAAACAAAGCUAGCAGGUUAAAAGGCUGCUGCCUCUUGUAUGAACAGAUCAAAAUGUAGUUCCUGCUCCCUUGAAAAAGUUGGGAGUUUGUGCUCCCACCUGCCACCCAGGUCUCGUGAUUAAGGAAAAGCUCUGACUUGCAUUCAGCUUGAUUAUUCUCUGAGAUGCCAUCAUGCCAGUUUCAUAUCAUUGAUUAGUUAGGAUAUCAAAUCAACUUUUCCUCUUUAAGCUGUCAAAUUUGCUUUUCUUUUAUCCCAGAUACCAACAUGACCUAAACAAAGUGAAUUAGAAGAAAAUGAUAAAAUAAUAAAUGUGGCUUUAAUAAAAGUUUUUGUACAGUAGGUGCAGCUAUAAAAAGACAAUUUCUUCAAAUCAUUUCACAGGAGUCACAAAACAAAGUAUCAAGCUGACAGUAACAUAAGCACCUAAUAAUGUGCUUGAGUCCUUCAAUGUUAUACAUAAAAUUAAAACAUAUUACACUUUA